rnacentral:lncRNA from 1 species
UUUUUCUUUUCUCUUUUCGUGUGAAAAAAUUGAUCAUUUAUUUAAAAAUGUUAAUCAAGCAUUUGAAAAAAAACUAUUUGAAAAAUAUGAAUCAAGCAUUUAAGAAAAGUUAAAUGUGUGUAGAAAAUAUGUUACCCAUGUAUAUUAAAAAAUAUUAAUUUUAUCUGAAAAAUGUUAAAUAUGUAGAGAAAAAAUGUAGACUAUGUAUUAAAAAUUAUUAAUCUUGUAUUGAAAAAAUGUUAAUCAAGCAUUUGAGAAUAUUUAAAUAUGUAUGGAAAAAUGUUGACCAUGUAUUCAAAAUUUUGUAAUCUUGUAUUUGAAAAAUAUUUAAAAUGUGUAUAAAAAUGUUGACCAUGUAUUAAGAAAAUGUUAAACUUUUGUUUGAAAAAUGUUAAUCUAGAAUUGGAAAAAUGUUAAAUUUGUAUAGAAAAAAUGUUGACCAUGUAUUCAAUUUUGUUGAUCCUUUAUUUUUGAAAUGACUAUUAUUAGAAAAAUGUAUUAGAUAUAUACCAAAAAUGUGUAUAGAACAACAGCAAAUACUGAGAGAAAACAAAAAAACUGAUGAAAAACGAAAUAAAGAAAACCAAAGAAACUAAAGAAAGAAACACCUCAGAAACGUAGAAAAAUGGAAACCCGAAGAAAACCGUGGAAAUUCACGAGGAAACAAAGAAAAAAGAAGAAAAAAACAGAAAAGAAAACAGGAAAACAUAGAAAAGAAAACAGUGCAAAAGAGAAAAAGGAAUCAUAUAAACAAGAAAAACCGAGGAGAACGAUAAAGAAAAAAACUUGAGAAAAGAAAAACCUGGUGAAAACAAGGAAAUAUAUAAAGAAAAUCGAUGAAAAACAAAGAAAUCCAUGGAGAAGCAAAGAAAACUGGUAAGAUCCAUGUAAAAAAAAUUAAAAACAAUAAAAAAGAAAUAAAAACAGAAUACCAAAAAAAGUAAUGAAAAAGAAAAUAAAACGAAAAAUAAAAAUAAAUAAAUAAAUAAAUAACAUACCGAACGAGCGAGUGAGUAUUGACAAAUCCAACGAGCAGCGAUAGUGCGAGGGAGGAGAUGAAAAUGGUUUGGUCCGAUUCGUUCACAGGAGCAAAAUUCCUUCAGGCAAGAGCAGCUAACUUGGGGUGUUUCACGUGGAUAUAGACUAGUCCUGAGUCCUGACUCCUGGAAGAGCCAGUCUGUAGUAUGGACGAACCGGGGAACUCCUUGUCCAGCAAACUUUUCUGAUGAGGAGGGUCAUACAGUCAUACUUCAGAAAAGGGUUGUUUUGGCAACAUGGUCUACAUAAAAUAGGUGUAAGAAAUGGAGAUACAAGGGCACAUAAGUCCAUCAGAAAAGGUUGCCUCAGCCAACCAAAUGCUCUUAAUUACCAGUUAACCAAGUCAGGCACCAAAAAAUUCAUUGCCUUUACUAAUAGUAGUAUAGCACUAGACUACUAGCGGUAAGAAAGAGCGAGAAACUAAGUAAGUUGGAAAUAAAAGGUGAAGAUUACUCUUUUUUCUCAACGCGCCUUCAAAAGGAACCAAGUAAGUUGGAAAUAAAAAUAGCGACUUGAAUGUAUUACCUUUAAAAGGCAGACCGCAGUUUGGACAAGACCUUGACGAAUUGCAUCUAGCUUGCUGAAAGCUCAGAAGUUUCCUCCCAUGCCAUAGUCUUUCUUUUUUCCUGUGAUGGAGUAGCAGCCGUAGGCUCAGAGGUUGACUAUAAAUAAAACAGGUUCCUGUCCAGGACAUCAACUGUGAACGCAGACAUCGUACCUGACCAAGGGAGUUUAUUGACCGGAAUAUCGUUCACAUAUAUACAGAAUAUAUCAGUGACUUAUACCGUGCGUCUAUAUAUAAACUGCGUUUUUUUGCCCUCAUACACCACCUACCUUAGCACAUCGCAAGAUGGAUCUUGUCAUAGCCGCUGUCGCAGGUGAUCUCUCGAACCGUUUCAUCUCUUUCCUGAUGAACAAGUACGCAGAUCACGCGUGCUUGGAGGACAAGGUGGAGAGGCUGCAACAGCUCUUGCUGAGAGUUGGCAUGGUCGUCGAGGAGGCGGACUCGCGGUACAUCACCAACUCUUGUAUGCUCAUACACAGUGGCGAAUCUAGACAGAAACUGAAGGAUGGGCUCAAAGCCUGUAUCAUGCGAAUAUCUAUUAGGUUGGGCUUGCAAGUGGCUGAGUUGGGCUUUGAAACUAGUAGUAAAAAACUUUUUUACAGUGCUGGAGGGGGGGGGGGGCCCAACUCUUGUAUGCUCAUACAGCUGAAGACCCUAGCGACAGCCAUGUACCAAGGCCACCAUGCGCUUGACACCAUCAAGUAUGGGAAACACAAGGAUGUUGCCGAGGAAUUGGUAUGUGACGCAUUCGCCUUAUCUGUUUCUACUCCUUGCAAACGUUCUCGCAUAAUCGGUACUCGUGCAACAAACAAGGUUCUCAAUCCGGAGUUGCAAAGCGCGCUGCAAAACCUAGAGGCUAGUGUUGCUAACAUGGCGGAGUUUGUCGUGCUUUUGGGGGGAUGCGAGCGCAUCUCCCGUCGACCCUAUGACGCAUAUUUUACAUCGACAACUUCAUGUUUGGUCGCCAUGUCGAGAAGCAGCAGAUCAUCAGGUUCUUGCUGCACCACAACACCCGUGGUUCUCCGGCCGUGCUUCCAAUCAUUGGUGGCCCUGGAGUUGGGAAGAAAACUCUUGUCGCCCAUGUAUGCGACGAUGAGAGGGUGCGUUCUAACUUUUCUAUGAUUUUGCACCUAAAUGGAGAUGAUCUUUUCAGAAUGACACACCAUGAAAGCUUGUCAGGGAGGAUACUGGUAGUUAUUGAGUUUGUUUCAUAUAUACAUGAAGAUGACUGGACAAGAUUCUAUCAUUUUUUUAUGAACAUGGACAGAGGAAGCAAGGUCAUGAUCUUAGGUAAAUUCGCAGAGCUAGAGAAGUUUGGAACCGUUAAACCUAUAUCACUGAAAUGUUUGGCAUUAGAAGAAUUCAGGUACCUGUUCAAGACCCUAGCAUUCGGAAGUGCGGACCCGACAGAUUAUCCGCGAUUAGUCGCGAUGGUGGAAGAGUUUGUCAAGGUGUUGGGAGGGUCACUCACCUUAGCAAAUGUGCUUGCAGAUGCACCGAGGAAAAAUCUAGUUGCCCGUUUCUGGAUGUACAGGUUGAACGCGGUCAGAGAUAUGGUCAAGGCGAACAUUUCUUAUUUUGGCGCCCAUCCACAGGUGCUUCUGAAUCAAGGUCACCCAGUGCACCUAAUCGGCGGAAACAUUUUGUCUCCUGCUGCUCCAUCGCGUGUUGUAGACUGUGCUAUCGGUAUGGCUAAUGCUCCGGAAGAUGGUCUACCUAGGAUUAUGUUUGGGGACUUAAUAUCAGCAGCAGGUCACCUUGUCUUACCCAAAGGAGAUUUUAGGCUAAUUUCAUGGGAAUCAAGGCUACCGCCUUACACACAAUUUAUUCACUUGGUGCACUCUCCGUUCCAAGCUGCCCCAAUGGUAAAACUGUAACACCCUUGUCAGGGAAAAAGCGUCCGAGUUUAUUUAUGGCCUGCAUAAAAUAGGUAUAAUAAAUGAAAAUGCCAGUGAAUAGAAGUCCAUCAGAAAAAGGUUAGUUCAGCAAAUGCCCUCAAUUACCAGCUAACGAAGUGAGAGAAUAUGUGCUAACCAAGUCACACAACAAAAUUUUAGGGCAUUGCUACUUGCCAGUUUCUAGUCGUAUCUGACCAGAAGAGAGAACCAAUGCAAGGACCCAAAUUUACUUGAAAUUGUGCUGACCUCGGUGGCGCGGCAGGCCAGCAAGCUCACAUCGUCAGCCCUCCAGAGAAAGUAUUGGUGGCUUGACGGUCAUUUCACAGAACACCAUCCGGGCACCAGAGCGGAGCUGACUUCCUCACAUCCUGCCUUACUGGAGACAGAGGAAGUGACACACAGUACCAAUGGUUAAUUUUUUUUCAGACCGGAACAGCAGGUGCUCCGGCUUUUUAUUAUAGUAGGAGGAAAAACUUUACAAAACCAGGAUGCCGGGAUUUACUGUAAUGAAAAACCGGGUGCACCGAAAAAGGAAUUUUUUCCAAGAGGUUUACUUUAAUGAAAAACUUUGUAAGAAAUGCAAUACAUAUGGUUCUUUGGAUAAAAUUCCUACGAGAUAAAAUCCUACAAACCAAACAUCUUACACACACACAAUACAGGUUAUAAAUACAUGACUUCCUAGAAGGCUUGCAUUCAAUAUUUUCUAACUUUCACUACAAAUAUAUAUCCAAAAAAAAAAUUGUAUUGAUUGAAUGAAAAUGGUACAUUAAAACUUUAUUUUUUUAAUAAAAAAAUAGCAUUCCAUGAUCAAAAGAUGUGUAUCGGAGACCAUGUCAAUAUUUGAGUUAUCUAUUUCUAAUCUGAGCGAAUACUUGAGAUUCCAACUGUACAAAAUCCCCGUAGAAAUCGUCUGAAUCAAAAGGCCUUACAAAGGCACCGCUGCACGCUUCCUCCCAGACAGGGGAGUACUCUGUUCCGCCGCACCUAGAGCACCAUUUCCACUUGUAGCGAAAUGAACAAACGAGGUAUAAGGCGGCAAUCUUGACUCCCACGCAACUACAUUGAAAUCCCCUUGCGGCCGGACUCCAGGAUCCAGCAGCAGAUCCCCAAGCCUUACCCUCGGCAGAAACUCCCUUCCCACAGCAACCUCAGUGCGGCUGCUGCCGCUGGUACAGGAAGGCACGAUGCAGAGUGGAGAAGCAGCAGGAUGCAAGAGGAACUCCGUAAUAUCUAUCUGGUGGCGUCUCUGGAAGAGGGACCUCGGAUGCUUACCGAACAUGGAGAGGUUCCUCUCAAUGGCCUUUCUCAGCCUGCUCAGCAUGCCGAGGCAGAAACGGUCGUUCAGAUUCCUUCUCAUUAAGUCCGCAAAUAUGUUCGCAUCACCAAGUGAGUAUUCCGAGUGGAAUUCUCUGGCCAGUUCGUCUGCAAUCCAUGCUAACCGCGGGUGCUGUACCGGGUUCGCGCUCCUGAACGAGAGUGUCUUGAAGAGGUAGCUGAACUCCUCAUAUGACAGGUUGUUGAGGAAGAUUGGCUCAACGGUUCCUAGUCGUUCUGUACUUUUAAGCCGGCUGAUGAUGAUCACCUUGCUUCCACUGUCCAUGCUUGUUGCAACGGAUGAACAGAACUUGGCCCAAUCCUCCUCGUCGACAUCUGGAACAAGCUCAACAACCACCAGUAUCUUGCCUGGCAAGAGGCUACGAUCAUGGUCUGCGAAUCUAGAGAAGGAAUCCCCAUUCAGGUGCAGAACCGAAGAGAAGUGUGAGCGGACCCUCUCGUCCUUGCAUCCAUGGGCGACCAGGGUCCUCUUCCCGGCCGUAGGAGCACCGAUGACCGGGAGAACAGCAGGCGCGUCACCAGGAGAGCCAUGCUGUAGCACGAAGUUCAGGAGCUUCUGCUUCUCAGCAUGUCGUCCGAACAUGAUGUUGUCAUUGUACAGAUACGCAUCGUAUGGUCGACGCAGCAUACGGUCGCACCCACCCAGAAGAACAACAAACUCCGUCAUGCCAGCGACUACAUCCUCCAAGCUCCAUCUUCAGUUCUCCGACCGACCGAAGGGUGCCAAUUAACCAGGGAAUCGAAUAGAGGGCAGGAGAAGGAGGUGGUGGUAAUUGCAGGCUGGCCGUGUUUCCUGUUCCUCUACCUGUAAAACGUUUGUACACUACUCUUUGUAGGUUUAGCGUUAUUGACCUGUACGUCAAUGGCCGUAGGUGCUGAAAAAUAUUGGUUAGGUAUGGACUACUCCGCCUCUAGCCUAUGAAGAUUACAUGCUGAUCUCAGCUUAUCUUUUCACACAUCAUGGAAAAAUCAUAGUGACUUCCUGACUGGGGAACUCCUUGUCAGUAGUAUGGACGACCAGGGAACUCCUUGUCCAGCAAACUUUUGAGAUGGGACAAUGACAAGGGUCAUACUUGUCUAUGUUCUUCUCUCUCUAGGAAGGCUUGUUACGGCAAUAUGGCCUGUUUAAAAUAGGUAUAAGAAAUGGAAAUACAAAUACAAGGGCAUAAAAGUCAUCAGGAAAGGUUGCCACCGCCAAUUAAAAUGCCCUUAAUUACCAGCUAACUAAGUCAGGCAACGAAAUUUUUAUGAACUUUACUACUAGUGGUAAGGAAGGGCAAGAUUUUUCAGGCGGGGUAAACAAUGUCACAGGUCGUAACUACAAGAUAAAAGGAAGUGUAAUUUACUCUCUUUUUUAUCGACACGUCUUCAAAAGAAACUAAGCAAGUUGGAAAUGAAGAUAGCGACAAUUGAAUGGUGAUAGCGACAAGUGACAUUUACCUUAGGCGGACGGCGGUGUGGACAAUCGAGUGCAAUCGCUUGGCGAAGAAGACCUUGAUGAAUUGCAUCUAGCUUGCCGAAAGCUCAGGAGGUUGACUAGAAAAUUUCUUCACCUGUCAUAGUUGUUCCUUUGGCUAUGAUGGAGCACCUGUCCAUCAUAGUUUGUCCAUCUCACCUCCCCAACAGGAUGGUUUGUUCACACAGCAAGAAAAAUAUCUGCUCACCUGUCACUAUAAAACAGGUUCUUGUCCCAGACAUCAACUGUGAACGUGAGACUCUGACCAGGGGAGUUUAUUGACUGAAACAUAGGUGGCAAUAUAGAAUAAUACCAAUGACUUGUACUGUCCAUAUGUAAACUGCAUCUUGGCCUCCUACACCACCUAGCUUAGAACACCUCAAGAUGGAUCUUGCCAUAUCAGCUAUCACAGGGGAUCUGGCUAAUCGAAUCAUCUCUUUUCUGAUGAGCGAAUACAUGGAUCACGUAUGCUCGGAGGAGAAGGUGGAGAGGCUACAACAACUCUUGCUGAGAAUUGGCAUGGUCGUCGAGGAGGCGGACUCACGAUACAUCACCAUGCUCAUACAGCUGAAGACGCUGGUGGCAGCCAUGUACCAAGGCCACCAUGUGCUUGAUACCAUCAAGUACAGGAAACAUAAGGAAUUGAUAUGUGACUCAUCGGCACUAUCUAUUCCCACUCCUAACAAACGUACACGCACACUCGUUAGUAGUGCAUCACACAAGGUUUUCAACUCAGGGCUAAUAAGAACUCUGCAAAACCUAGAGGCCGGUGUUGCUAACAUGGCGGAGUUUGUCAUCCUUUUGGGCGGAUGCGAGCGCAUCUCCCGUAGACCCUAUGAUGCAUAUCUUUACAUCGACAACUUCAUAUUUGGCCGCCAUGUCGAGAAGCAGCAGAUCAUCAGGUUCUUGCUGCACCACAACACCCCAGGUUCUCUGGCCGUGCUUCCAAUCAUUGGUGAUGCUGGAGUUGGGAACAAAACUCUUGUCACCCAUGUAUGCGAUGUUGAGAGAGUGCGUUCUCACUUUUCUAUGAUUUUGCACCUGAAUGGAGAUGAUCUUUUCAGAAUUACAGACCAUGAAAGACUAUCAGGGAGGAUAUUAGUAGUUGUUGAGUUUGCUUCAGAUGUAGAUGAAGAUGACUGGACAACGUUCUAUCAUUUUGUUACGAAUAUGGAGAGGAAGUAAAGUGAUAAUCUUGGGUCAAAGCGCAGGCUUGGAGAAGUUUGGAACCAUCAAGCCUGUUUCUCUGAACUCCCUGGCAUUCGAUGAGUACAUGUACCUAUUCAAGACACUCGCAUUCGGAAGUACAAACCCGGCAGACUACCCGCGGCUAGCAGCGAUGGUGGAAGAGUUCGCCACGGUGUUGGGAGGGUCAUUUAUCGCAGCGAAUGGCUUGCAGAUGCACUGCGGAAAAACUCGAGUGCUCAUUUCUGGCUGUACAGGUUGAAGGGUGCCAGAGACUCUGUCAAUAAGGACAUCUCUUGUUUUGGUACCCACCCGCAGGUGCUUCUUAGUCGAGGCCAACUGGUACACCUAAUCGGCCGCUACAUUUUAACUCCUGCUGCUCCAUCAGGCAUUGUAAACUCUGCUAUUGGUAUGGCUAAUGUUCCAGAGGAGCAGGGUCUACCUAGGAUUAUGUUUGGGGACCUAAUAGCAGCAGCAGGUCACGCUGUCUUACCCAAAGGAGAUUUUAGGCUAAUUUCAUGGGAAUCAAGGCUGCCGCCUUACACUUCAUUUUCUCACUUGGUGCACGCUGUGCCGAGUUGCGUCCAUGACAAGCCUGAAACAUCCUUGUCAGGGAAGAAGCGUCCAGGUCUAUUUNNNNNNNNNNNNNNNNNNNNNNNNNNNNNNNNNNNNNNNNNNNNNNNNNNNNNNNNNNNNNNNNNNNNNNNNNNNNNNNNNNNNNNNNNNNNNNNNNNNNAGUAGUGCAUCACACAAGGUUUUCAACUCAGGGCUAAUAAGAACUCUGCAAAACCUAGAGGCCGGUGUUGCUAACAUGGCGGAGUUUGUCAUCCUUUUGGGCGGAUGCGAGCGCAUCUCCCGUAGACCCUAUGAUGCAUAUCUUUACAUCGACAACUUCAUAUUUGGCCGCCAUGUCGAGAAGCAGCAGAUCAUCAGGUUCUUGCUGCACCACAACACCCCAGGUUCUCUGGCCGUGCUUCCAAUCAUUGGUGAUGCUGGAGUUGGGAACAAAACUCUUGUCACCCAUGUAUGCGAUGUUGAGAGAGUGCGUUCUCACUUUUCUAUGAUUUUGCACCUGAAUGGAGAUGAUCUUUUCAGAAUUACAGACCAUGAAAGACUAUCAGGGAGGAUAUUAGUAGUUGUUGAGUUUGCUUCAGAUGUAGAUGAAGAUGACUGGACAACGUUCUAUCAUUUUGUUACGAAUAUGGAGAGGAAGUAAAGUGAUAAUCUUGGGUCAAAGCGCAGGCUUGGAGAAGUUUGGAACCAUCAAGCCUGUUUCUCUGAACUCCCUGGCAUUCGAUGAGUACAUGUACCUAUUCAAGACACUCGCAUUCGGAAGUACAAACCCGGCAGACUACCCGCGGCUAGCAGCGAUGGUGGAAGAGUUCGCCACGGUGUUGGGAGGGUCAUUUAUCGCAGCGAAUGGCUUGCAGAUGCACUGCGGAAAAACUCGAGUGCUCAUUUCUGGCUGUACAGGUUGAAGGGUGCCAGAGACUCUGUCAAUAAGGACAUCUCUUGUUUUGGUACCCACCCGCAGGUGCUUCUUAGUCGAGGCCAACUGGUACACCUAAUCGGCCGCUACAUUUUAACUCCUGCUGCUCCAUCAGGCAUUGUAAACUCUGCUAUUGGUAUGGCUAAUGUUCCAGAGGAGCAGGGUCUACCUAGGAUUAUGUUUGGGGACCUAAUAGCAGCAGCAGGUCACGCUGUCUUACCCAAAGGAGAUUUUAGGCUAAUUUCAUGGGAAUCAAGGCUGCCGCCUUACACUUCAUUUUCUCACUUGGUGCACGCUGUGCCGAGUUGCGUCCAUGACAAGCCUGAAACAUCCUUGUCAGGGAAGAAGCGUCCAGGUCUAUUUGCCUACGUUUUUUUUCCAACUGGGCUCAACCCCUUUCCAUUAAUUUCACAAUCAACGGAAAUACUACAUCAGUCUGUAUCCACUUUGUCUUAGAGACCAAACCACUAACCAAGGUUGUCAGAAUCGCGAUUUUGAAUCGGAUCGGAGCUCUGAUGGUAAGAUCGCAAAUCGUAAAAUCUUCACUAUCAGGAUCGUAGAAACGUAGAUUCUAUGAACUAAAAUCGUAGAAUCAUAGGAGUUAGUUUGGAUCGUAAAGUCGUAGAAUCGUAUAACAAAAUCGCGAUUCUGACAACCUUGCCACUAACCACUAACAGAAUGGAAGAUACCGCCUCCUGUUUUUUGAGAGCUAAUGAAACUAAAAAGGGGGGAGCGAGUUGGUGUAUCAUCAGGAAACCCACCGCAGGACGAUCCUGGAACGGACCAUCCGCCAUGGGGCGAAAACCUGAUGACACUCACAAGCCACAGCCCAACGAAACAAAAGACCCAGGAUAAGAUAUGUUGGUAAACGUCUGCGACUAAGCGAACUACUGCCAGAAGACAUAAACCCAGCGGGCAUCAAACCCCAGUGGGGAACAGCGAGCAAAAGGAUCGAGCGCUGAACUUCUAGCCAAUCUGGAUCCCAUCUCUGUCUCCUAAGAGUGGCCUGCCUCGAGGAUGAGAUCUGUCCACCAGCGCAGCAGCCGCGUGAGCCAACCUCUUCACUCCAACUUGGAGCUUCACCUUUUCAUCUUCCUUUAGCAAACCUGCCCAAUACAUCAGAAACGAGCAGGCGGUGAAAACAGCCUCCAGAGGAGAACGAACAACAUGGUUAUCAAACGUAACUUUAUUGCGGAGGGUCCAAAUCCCCCAUCAUAUUGCAGCAAUAAUCAUCAUGUAAAAAAGCUUCCCGCCCGGAAAAAACUUAUAAAGCCAAGCGAAGCUCUGCCAGAGAGAACGAGGACAGCAGGAUGCUCCAGCCGUCAUGCCCAACACUCCCCAGACCGAACAAGCAAGCGAGCAAGUAAAAAACAAAUGAUUUGCUGUCUCAACGUCAGUACAGAAGGAACACAUGGGGUUUCCAGACCAGUUCCUGAUACGCAUAUUAUCCCGAGUAAGAACUGCAUUCUGAAACAGCUGCCAAAGGAAGAUUUUAAUUUUCAGCGGGAUAGGUGCUUUCCACACCAUCUUAUAGUUAGGGCAUGAUAAAUUCCUUUCCAAUCAUUCAUAUAAGGAUUUAGUAGUAAAUUUCCCUUUGCUGCCAAGGCCCCAUAGAAUCUUAUCUGGGGAGUCGUUCAACGACAGUUUUUUUAGCUUCCAUAACCAUCCAAGCCCACUGCUCGCCCAACUCCCCAACUAGGCUACGCCUAAAGCCAAGCUCAUAAUUUUUCGCCGCCCAGGAAGCAACAGUGCAUUCCUGUUCCUGACAUAUACUAAAAAUAUACUAAAAAGAUCAGGAAAGCGGUCUUUCAAGUAGUAUUCUCAACCCAAGGAUCAUACCAGACUCUGGCAAGGUUCCCACUUUCAAUCUUAAUUUUUCUACCCGCCAUAUAUGAAUCCUUGACCUUCAUAAUCGCUUUCCAGCAGGGGGAGUCCGAAAAACGGCUCCGAAUGCUAGCUACUGUUUUGUUUCUGAAGUAUCUUGCUCUUACUAUACGCUGCCAUAACCCAUCGCUCGUUUCUAAUUUCCACCACCACUUAGCGAGCAGGGCAAUAUUUUUCUUAUGAAGAUCUUUAAUCCCUAGUCCCCCAAUUUUCUUCGAUCGACAAAUUCUUGUCCACUUAACCAUAUGAUACCCAUGUUUCUUAUUCUUUCUCUUCCAAAAGAAGCAUCUGCGAUGUUUAUCCAACUUUUCAAUGAAAGUUUUGUUGAAGAGGAACAUUGACAUAAGGAAAGAGGGAAUUCCAUCCAAACUGGACCCUAACAAAGUCAAUCUGGCUCCAGAAGAUGCCGCAUAAGCUACCCAGGCAUCGAGCUUUUUGACCAUUUUACCAUCAAGGAAAUCGAGAUCAGCGUUUCUAAGAGUAGAGUAAGUAACAGGGACUCCCAGAUAUUUCAUAGGAAGUAUGCCCACUUGACACCCAAACAUGUUGGUAUAUACCAAAUCAGUGUCAUUAUCCCCCCCCCCCCAUGCUAAAUAUCUCACUCUUCUCAAAGUUGAUCUUAAGCCCAGACUUAAAUUCGAAGAGAUACAACAAGAGUUUGAUAUUAACAGCUUUGUCAACAUCAUGUUCAAAACAAAGCACCGUGUAGUCCGCGUAUUGUAGAAUGCCAACACCAUUCUCAAUAUCAGCGGCUAACCCUUUAAUGAGACCAUUUUUUUGAGCUGUAAGAACCAUUUUGGUUAGGCAAUCAGCCGCAAUAUUGAACAGGAAAGGGGAGUGAGGAUCCCCCUGUCUCACCCCCUUAGCACUUUGAAUGUAAGGUCCCACCUCGUCAUUAAUCUUGACACUAACCGUGCCAUUUUUUAGGAUUUGAGAUACACAUCCACACCACUUAGAGCUAAAUCCACGCUUCCUAUGACAAUCAAGCAAAAAGUCCCAAUUGACUUUGUCAUAUGCUUUCUCGAAAUCAAGUUUAAGAAUCACUCCCACUUGUUUUUUGAGGUGGGUAUAAUGUAGAACCUCAUGUAGCGAUAGGAUCCCAUCCACUAUGUGUCUCCCCUUAAUAAAAGCAUUCUGUUGAAUACUGAACAAUUUAUGGGCAUAUUUGCUAGCUCUAAUAUCCAUGGCUUUAGUGAGUAGCUUGUAAGGGCAACGUAAUAGACAAAUGGGCCUAUACUGCUGGAUUUUAUUAGCAUCAGUCAACUUAGGCAGCAAGGUUAUGAUACCAUAAUUAAGUCGUUGAACAUCUAACUUGCCUUCAUGAAACCAUUCAAAUAGGCAUAGGAGAUCACGGGCUACUACAUCCCAGCAGUGUUGAUAAAAUUCAACAGGGAUAUCGUCUGGGCCAGGGGCACGGUUAGAUUUCAUUUCAAAUAAGGCUUUUUUGAUCUCUUCCAAUGAGAAAGGUCGAGUCAAGUCCUCAUUGUCAUCAGGAGUAAUCAUCUCAUCCUGAGACCACAAUGUUGCAUAUAUCUGACAAAUACUGCCAGGAGCUGGACCAAACAAGGUUUUAUAGUAUUCAAUAGCAUGGGCAAGUAGGUUUUUAGUGCCUUCAAUAAUAGUGGACCCACACUCCAGGGAGAUCAUGGAGUUUUUCCUACGACGGCCAUUAGCUACUUUAUGGAAAAAGUCAGUGUUAUUGUCUCCUUUCAACAACCACCUCUCAUUAGAAAAUUGAUGCCAGUGAAGUUCUUCUUCAACAUACAUAUUAUUAAGCUCUACUUGAUUUUCCAACUUCCUAGUAUAUGCCUCCCCGCUUAAACCAUCAGCCUCCUCCAGAUUUUCAAGCUCCUGCAGUUCGAGCUUGAUGAUAUUCUUCCUGAUCUUAUUAUGACCAAACAAAUUGGACCCCCAACCCUUAAAAAAUUUCUUAAUUCUCUUAAGCUUAAUAUUCAAGGAGUCAAUGGGGUUUAUAGUGUAAACUGGCCUAGACCAAAUAUCAGCAACCAGAGGAAGGAAGUCUGGGUUACUGAGCCAGGCAUUAUCGAACUUAAAACACCUAUUACCUGGUGCUCUAGAGGAAGCUCUCCCACCAUCCACCAACAAGGGAUUGUGAUCUGAUAUCUCCUUGACCAGUUUAUGCACAGAAACGAGAGGGUAUAAAUCCUCCCAAUCAGGGGACAUGAGAACUCUAUCCAAUUUUUCCAAAGUUGGGUUAUCUUGUUUAUUGGACCAGGUAUAGCAACCACCAGUCAUAUAGAUCUCUCUCAACCCAAGCAAAUGAAUAACAGAAUUAAACACCUCCGAGAAGUGGGACAUAGAUGUUUUUUUGUUUUUCUCCCCGCUAUGUCGAAUGAUGUUAAAGUCUCCCCCGACCAGAUAAGGGAUAUUAAUGUUAUGACACAUGGAUGACAGUUCAGCAAUGAACUCGGGUUUCUACUCAUCAUGUGCAGCACCAUAUACAGUCAUCAAGGCCCAGCUAGAGUUUUUGUUCUUAUCGAACAAGUUCAACUGUAGGAUGUAUUUACCACACUUGGUCAUAAGGAUAUCAAAUUUUUCCUUAUUUAGACCACAAAGAAUGCCACCAGAUUUCCCCCUAGAAGGAAUCCACUCCCAAUGAAACUUUUGGUUCGGAUCAAUUUGUCUAAAAAAGGCAGGAUUAUAAGACUUCUUCAUAGUCUCCUGAAGUCCAAUAAAAUCUAAAUCAUUGGCAUUAAUCAUGUCAAUGAGGCAGGUGGACAUGCCUUUUUUACCUACCCCUACAAUUCCAAAAAACCCCUUUCAUUUAUAUCGUUCGGGUUUAUCUCUCACUCUGGUAGGUCUGCCAGGUUCCAUAGCAGCCCUACCCACCCCAUUUUUCUGUUGACUUCUAGUCACAGGUCUACUGGAUUUAUUAGGAGAUAAAACCACCAGCGAUUUCCUGCGCUGAUAUUCUUUUUUUGUUUUUAGAUUGAACCAGGAUAAAUGGUUCCUCAAUAUCUCUACUAUCCUCAUCCCAUUCUAAAGAUAGGAGUACAUCAUUACCCAACCCAUCAUUGACAGUAUUUUUUUGUGCAUUAGUAUCAAUUUUUUUGUUACGCAACAAAUUUCUAGAGAGUUCUAAUUCACGCAAGAUAUCAACAGUUGCAAAGUCAUCAUCAGGGAUUUGCACUCCCAUCAAGGAUGCACGCAAUAUAAUGGCAGAAUCAGAUAAAGCAGAGAAUUGAUUUUUUGAAUUGGGCAUAUUCAUACCUUCCAGAUUGCGCUUCCUCAUUCUGCGUGGGGCCUCCUCUUCUUGACUCAUGUUGUCAUGAAUUGGACAUCCAGAGGGAGAUUCAACUGUAUACACACUACAGUUUUCUCCUCCUUCCAGGGAUCCCUCCUCAAGUGGCAUAAUAUGAGGCAGGGAAGGCCAAACCACAUAGUCUGACAAGGGAGGAAAUGCAUUCCCAUAAGUAUUCAUAUCAUGACAGACAAACAUAGGUGAGGGAGGAACAGGAGUAAUCAUUCCCCAAGCACCUUUAUGCACACUGAUCUCAGUAAUGGGAGAUUCAGUCAUCUCUUCCACACCCAGAUCCUCAGAGACAUUUUCACACGAUAUUUUAUCAGAUUGAGAGCCACAAUAAGACAUUUUUUCGACUGCAUGUUCUCUGGCCAUAGUCUCAAUCAGCAGCUCCGUGUUGUUACCUUCAUCACUUUCCUCUUCUUCGAACUACCGCAGAAAGCCUCUACAUGCCCUUAUCAUAAUUCUGGGAGGAGAAAUUACCAGCCAUGGAUACACUCGUCUCUCCCUGCCCCAUGGAAGAAGCAGGAUAUGAGUCCAUCGUUGCUUUCUUGGGGAAGGAAGGAGAUGCACUGCUAUCCACAGCAGUAUAAGAUUGACUUUUCUCAGCACCCAUAGUCACAACUUUUUCAACUUCAUAAAAGAAAUCAUAAUACUGUUCUCCCAGCAUCCCUUCAGCUGAAGGAGGAAUUUUCUCAACAUCUCUACAGCCAAGAAGGAUUCUAGCAUAUUCAGGUUUAUGCACAGUCGAUUCAUCAACUUCUAAUGUAAUUCCCACCAGGGCCCCAGCAUAAGCUAUAUGUUCAGUGCAUCUUUUCUCUAUUAGAAUGUUGCGUACCCUAACCCAUGCUUUUUCCAUGAUGCCUUUAGCUCCAAUCGAGGCAGUCCAAGGAGUAAUACAGACAACAAUAUUCCCCUCUUUCAGAGGUAAGCGUUUCCCAUAACAACAUGCCCUUUCUACUUCACUAGCAUUAGGGAAUCGCAUCACUUCGGGCCGUACAGCGCCAUUUCUUUUUCCCAGGUUUUUUGGCAAAUAUAGCAUUAAAUUCCUGCUCAAUAUCUUUCACAGUAGCUUCGCCCUCAACUAUAGUAAUCACCACAUUAUUAGUUUUCUCAACACUAUGCUUAGCGGCACACAGAUCAGGUAUAUAGAAGAAUCCCUGACCAGGCGAUUGGAACCCACACAUGAACGGAAUGCAUUCCCAAGGCCUCAGAACUUGACAAAGCUGGGCCAUAUGACCUAAUUUGUUGCAUUUUUCGCAGCGAAUAGUAGGGCAACGAGGAGCGAAAUGACCUGAAAGGGAGCAGUUGAUGCAGAUCUAGGCAUUGUUCUUGGUCGUCGUUUGCCCAGGUGAUGGAGGUGGAGGCCGCUCCAGGGUGCCCGCCAUCUUCUCCUUGGUCGCGCCGCUCAUGGCACGCGCAACAGCUUCCCAUCUGUCCCCAACUUCACCACCACCAGAUCUCGAGUCUCCCGACGUCGUUGGCGGCGGAUCUGGCCGCUGCCACACCAUGUGUCGAGACUGGUUAGGCAGCGGAGCCUUGCGCCUACCGCCGAACCCUCCCCGUGCUGUGUUGUCGCGCCAUCCUCCAGAUUUGCCCCCGCCACAAUCUCCCAUCGCGGCGCGCGUCCCACCCCCCGCCCGCUCCGCCGCAGCAACUUGGGCGAAGGAGCGGUCGUCGCCGCCGGCCUUGCCCCGCCACCAGCCGAAGGAAUCAGAAGGGGAUGGAUCGGGGAAACAAACCCUAGAACGCUCCCAGAUAUGCUUGAAGAGAGGAGCGAGAUGCGCGUCUCGCGUGAUGGGGGUAGGUGGGGAAAAUGGAGCGGCUCUCCGCGCCUCCCCCGCUCUAGAAGGCUCCACGCCCGGAUCGGUGCUGGGUCCUACAUGGCAGUCAGGUGGCCAUGGAGAGGCUCCCACGCGUCCAGCCGCCAUUAGCGGGUGGUUGGUGUAGCAUGGGGCCACCCCAACCCGGUCCGCGCCCGCCUGGAUCUCCGUACGCCUCCCGCGCGCCGCACCUCGAGACGUGCCAUGCGCCGUGCCCGCUGGGGGCGUGCACGUUGCUGGAAAUCGCUCCCGAAUCCUCACCAAAUGGCAUGGCAGCGAGAUGAUAUCGCCAAUGAUUAUGGACUCCCCUGCGCGGAGAAAUCGCGCAUCCACCGUAACUCCGUGAUCAUCGAUCAGGAUGAUGCGGAGAGCAUCACGCCGGAGAAUCAGCUCGCCGUCAUAGAACGUGAGCGAGCGCGUCUGCAGAUCGGCGGCGUAGGAUACGUGCCAUCUCUCGUCUGGCGCGUCGCCCUGCGUGUCGCGUGAGCACGACGUGUGCUCCAUCUGUAGACCUCGAUCAGACAUUACAUUUGUCUAUUUGCCUACGUUUUAUGUAACAAAUGUAUUUCAGUACUAUUUUGUGAGACCUUAGGAGUUGUGCAUCCAGUGAAGCAUGUGAAUUGAAGGCGGGUCAUAAUAUAUCUAGACCAUCAGACCACCUUCUUCUCUUUUAAGGAAGGCUUGUUGUGGCAGCCUGCAUAAAAUGGGUAUAAGAAAUGGAAAUGCUAAUGGCCAGUAUCUAGUCGUAUCUAACCAGCAGAGGGAAGCAACACAAGAACCAAAAAUUACUCGCAGCAUUCUUACAAGAUGGGGAACCGUACGCUGAUCUCGGUGUUGGUGUUGACGGCCUCACAACGUCAGAGAUGGUCAUUUCAUCAAAUACCAUCGGGGCACCAGAGCUGCACUGCCUUCCCACAGCAUCCUGCCUUACUGGAGACAGGGGAGGUGACACACAGUACAAAUGGUCAAUGAAAAAUCGAGUAGAUAAAAAAAAACUCUUUCCAAGAGGUUUAGGUUACUGAAAAACUUCCUAUGUAAUACAAUACAAAUGAUUCUUUGGAUAAGAUUCCUAUGGGAUACAAUCCUACAAAUCAAACAUCUUACACACACAAAGUACAGUUCAUAAAUACAUGACUUCCUAGAAGGCUUGCAUUCAAUAUUAACUUUGACUACAAAUAUAUCCAAAAUUAUUUAGAUUGGUGUCGUUACAACUUUAAAAAAAUAACAUUCCAUGAUUAAAAAUAUGUAUUGAAGACCAUGUCAAUAUUUGAAUUAUCUCUUUAUAAACUGAGCUGAUACUUGAGAUUCCAACUCUACAAAAUCCCCAUAGAAAUCGUCUGAAUCAAAAGGCCUUACAAAGGCACUGCUGCACGCUUCCUCCCAGACAGGGGAGUACUCUGUUGCGCCACACCUGGAGCACCAUUUCCACUUGUAGCGAAAUGAACAUACGAGGUGUAAGGUGGCAAUCUUGAUUCCCAAGUAACCACAUUGAAAUCCCCUUGUGGUCUAACUCCAGGACCCGUCAACAGAUCCCCAAACCUCACCCUCGGUAGCAAUUCCCUUUCCACUGUAACUUCAGUGUGGCUGCUGCCACUGGUACAGGAAGCCACGACCCGGAGUGGAGAAUCCAUGGGAUGCGAGACCAAGUCAGUAACGUCUACCUGGUGACGUCUCCGGGCGAGGAGCUUCGGGUGCUCCCCAAACAGGGAUAAGUUCCUCUCGACUACCCUUCUCAGCCCGCUCAGGAUGCAGAGCCAAAAAUGGACGCUGAGGUUCCUCCUCAUGAUGUCCGCAAACGGAUUUGCAGUGCCGAUUGACCAUUCGGGUUGGAAUUCCCUGACCAGCUCGUCUGCUAUCCGCGCUAACCGUGGGUGCUGUGCCGGGUUCGCACUCCCGAAUGCUAGUGUCUUGAAUAGGUAGCUGAACUCCUCGUAUGACAGGGUUUUGAGGAAGAUUGGCUCAACGGUUCCGAGUCGCUCUGAAUUUUUAAGGUGGCUGAUGAUGAUCACCUUGCUUCCAUUAUCCAUGCUUGUUGCUACGGCUAAACAGAACUUGGCCCAAUCCUCCUCGUCAACAUCUGAAACAAGCUCAACAACCACCAGUAUCUUGCCUGGCAAGAGGCUACGAUCAUGGUCUGUCAGGCUACUAAAGGAAUCACCAUUCAGGUGCAGGAUCAAAGAGAAGUGUGAGCGGACCCUCUCGUCCUUGCAUACAUGGGCGACCAGAGUCCUCUUCCCGACCAUUGGACCACCGAUGAUGGGAAGGAUAGCCGGCGCACCGCCACCAGGAGAGUUGUGCCACAACAUGAAGUUCAGGAGCUUUUGCUUCUCGGCGUGACGUCCGAACAUGAUGUUGUCGUUGUAUAGAUACGCAUCGUAUGGUCGACGCAGCAUACGGUCGCAUCCACCCAAAAGAACAACAAACUCCGUCAUGCCAGCGACUACAUCCUCCAAGCUCUCCAACGCACCCUGCAAGUCGACGGGGUAUGUGGCCUUGUUCUUUCUAGCACUUCCAUGAACCAUGCGAAAACGUUUGGGAGCAGAUGGAUUGCAAACCUCCCCCUCCUCCUCAAUGGACUCUUCGAGUGAAAUGUACCUGGACGCACCUAGUGCCCAGUAGCCUCGGUACAUGGCGUCCGCAAGCAUACUGAGCUGCACCAGCAUCCCGGAGUUGGUGAUGUACCGCCCGUCUGCCUCCUCGAUGACCGUGUGAGCUCUCAGGAGCAGCUGCUGCAGCCUCUUCAGCUGCUUCUCUUCCGAGUAUUCAUGGCUCGAGUGGUACUUGUUGGCAAGGAAGGAGAUGAAUCGGCUCAUGAGUUCACCUGUUACUGCAGAUAUGGCAAGCUCCAUCUUCAAAUCCUCCAAUGGAAAGGNNNNNNNNNNNNNNNNNNNNNNNNNNNNNNNNNNNNNNNNNNNNNNNNNNNNNNNNNNNNNNNNNNNNNNNNNNNNNNNNNNNNNNNNNNNNNNNNNNNNNNNNNNNNNNNNNNNNNNNNNNNNNNNNNNNNNNNNNNNNNNNNNNNNNNNNNNNNNNNNNNNNNNNNNNNNNNNNNNNNNNNNNNNNNNNNNNNNNNNNNNNNNNNNNNNNNNNNNNNNNNNNNNNNNNNNNNNNNNNNNNNNNNNNNNNNNNNNNNNNNNNNNNNNNNNNNNNNNNNNNNNNNNNNNNNNNNNNNNNNNNNNNNNNNNNNNNNNNNNNNNNNNNNNNNNNNNNNNNNNNNNNNNNNNNNNNNNNNNNNNNNNNNNNNNNNNNNNNNNNNNNNNNNNNNNNNNNNNNNNNNNNNNNNNNNNNNNNNNNNNNNNNNNNNNNNNNNNNNNNNNNNNNNNNNNNNNNNNNNNNNNNNNNNNNNNNNNNNNNNNNNNNNNNNNNNNNNNNNNNNNNNNNNNNNNNNNNNNNNNNNNNNNNNNNNNNNNNNNNNCCAAGAGAGGGCAGGAAGCAGGUGGAAAUUGCAGACUCCUGGGUUUAAAUUGCCCUGCACGUCAAUGGCUGGGGGUGUUGCACCUAUAGAGAGACAUUUUUUUAGGACACACAGAGAGACUUUUCAUUGCCAUUUGUGGUGUGAAUUAAUCCACACAUAACUUGUGGAUACGAUUCCACGUCGAUAUAGACUAGUCCUGACUCCUGGAAGGGCACCUUUCAUGCGCCACGGAAAGAUGAUGGUGUAAUCUAGUUUUCGCUUUGCUCAGCAAACUUUUGUGUGGACGAACUGAGGAAAUCCUUGUCCAGCAAACUUUUGUGAUUGAUGAGCCUAAUGAGGAGUGUCAUACUUGUGCAAGACAUGUUAUUCUCUCUUCAGGAAGGCUUGUUAUGGUAAUUUCGAUUAAGUAAAAUAGGUGUAAGAAAUGAAAAUGCAAGGGCACAAAAGUCCAUCCCUAAAGGUUGCCUCAGUCAACCAAAUGCCCUUAAUUACCAGCUAACUAAGUCAGUCAACAAAAAUUCCAUUGCCUUUGCUAAUAACUAAUGGUAAGAAGAAAGGGCAAGAAACUAAGUAAGUUGGAAAUAAAAGGAAGUGAGAUUACUCGCUUUUUUCUCGACGUGCCUUCAAAAUGAACUAAUUAAGUAAGCUGGAAAUAAAGUUAGCAACAAUUGAAUGUAUUACCUUCAAAAGGCGGGCCGCAGUUUGGACAGCACCUUGACGAAUUGCAUACAGCUAGCUGAAAGCUCAGGAUCUUGACUAGAAAGUUUCCUCCCAGGCCAUAGUCGUCCUUUUAACUGUGAUGGAGCAGCUAGCAGCCGUAGCCUCAGAAGAUUGACUAGAAAAUUUGUUCCCACAGCAGGAAAAUAUCAGCUCACCUGUCACUAUUAAACAGGUUCCUGAUUGGCGUCGGAACCAACACAAAAAGCAAAAGAGAGAGCUAACAUCAAGCAUUGAAAUUUCUUGCAGCAUUCUUCCAAGAUGGGGAACAGCACCGCUGACCUGACCUGAUUGGCGCGGGAGGCUGGCUAGGCUUGCUCACAUCGUCAGCUGUCCUGAGAACCAGUCUAGGCCUCACGGCCAUUUCGUCGAACAACACCCAGGCUGGGUACCCGUGUUGGCCUCACAGCCAUUUCAUCGAACAAUUUCUGGGCACCAGUGCGGCGCAACCUUCUGCCCAGCAUGGUGGCCUCAUGGAGAGAGAGAAUAAGUGACAAACGUCAGAGGACAGAAGACAGUGGCCAUGACGAAAUUUGAGCUGAGGGCUUGACCUGUGACGCACUGUAUAGUGAGAAUCGCGGUGUAGCAAUGAUGGUGUGGUGCAGAGACAAAACAGAGCCGCUGAAAUUACUUGCAGCUGCCAAAAUUAGGGGCGAGGCGACUAUGCCUCAGACGACUGUUGGCAUGUUCAGACACCUUUUUUUUCCUUUUCCAUCGGAUUAUCAUCCAACGGUGGAAACAAGCUCCAGAUUGCUCAAACCCAGCCUAAUUUUCUGUAAACCAAAACAAAACAGCAAUAAAAUAAUAUUAAUUAAUUAAUUAAAACAGAAGUUUUUCUAAAAUAGAAUGAAUUAAUACAUUUGACUUUCUUUUGAAGACGCUCCAUCAACCCUCCAAUUCCACGUUGAUCUUUUCUUGUACCAUAGAAAACAUAUUUUUUUUUAGAAAAGGAGGCAUAUGCCCGACUUUAGCGAACCAAACCCCUUUAGGUUUUACAAGUUCGAGAGAGAACAAAUAAAAAGGAUCCGGCUCAACAACCACACGAACACAUGCACAUGAUACAAGCCCCGACAUGGGGCUUAAGGCUCAAAAGCCGGACAGACCAUCCCCAGGACUGUGCCUCUUCUUCGGUUGUAAGAAAUGGAAAUACAAGGGCAUAAAACUACAUCUGAAAAGGUCGCCUCAGCCAACCAAAUGCCCUUAUCAAUUUCUAAAUUUUACUAUCUAUUUAUGAACUGAGGGAGUGCUAGAGCUGACAACUCUACAGAAUCUCUGUAGAAAUCGUUGAAAUCAAAAGGCCUUACAAAGACAAUGCUGGACGCUUCUUCCCAGACAGAAGAGCACUCUGUUCCACCACACCUGGAGCACCAUCCCCAUUUGGAACAAAAUGAACAAAUGAAGUGUAAGGCGGCAUCCUUGAUUCCCAUGAAACCACAUUAAAAUCCCCUUGUGGCCGAAGCCCGGGAUCCAUCACCAGAUCCCCAAGCCUCACCCUCGGCAGUGCUUCCCUCUCCGCCGCAACCUCAGUGCCGCUGCUGCCACGAGCACGGGAAGGCACGACGCGAAGUGGAGGAGCACCAGGAUGCAAGACAAAGUCAGUCACAUCUACCUGGUGGCGUCUCUGGAGGAGGUCCUUCGGGUGCUCCCCAAACAUGGAGAAGUUCCUCUCGACUAGCCUUCUCAGCCUGCUCAGCACACAGAGCCAGAAAUGGACGCUCAGGUUCCUCCUCAUCACGUCCGCCAAGAUAUUUGUGGCGACGAGCGACCACUCCGACCGCAACUCUCUGGCAAAUUCGUCUGCUAUCCGCGCUAGCCGCGGGUGCUGCACCGGGUCCGCGCUCCCAAACGCGAGUGUCUUGAAGAGGUAGCUGAACUCCUCGUACGAUAGGCUGUUGAGGAAGAUUGGCUCAACGGUUCCAAGUCGCUCCAAACUUUUAAGCCGGCUGAUAAUGAUCACCUUGCUUCCAUCGUCCAUGCUUGUUGCUAUGGUUGAACGGAAUUUAGCCCAAUCCUCCUCGUCGACUUCUGCAACAAGCUCGACAACCGUCAGUAUCUUUCCUGACAUGAUACCACCAUGGUCUGCGAUUCUACAGAAGGAAUCUCCAUUCAGGUGCAGAAUCGAAGAGAAGUGUGAGCUGACCCUCUCGUCCUUGCAUAUAUGGGCGACCAGGGUCCUCUUCCCGACCACUGGACCGCCGAUGACUGGGAGAACAGCCGGAGCGUCACCAGGAGAGCCAUGCUGCAACACAAAGUUCAGGAGCUUCUGCUUCUCGGCGUAGCGUCCGAACAUGAUGUUGUCGCUGUAAAGGUACGAGUCGUAAGGCCUACGCAGCAUACGAUCGCAUCCGCCCAAGAGAACAACAAGCUCCAUCAUGCCGGUGAUGACAUCCUCCAAGCUCUCCACCUCGCCUUGCAAGUCGACAAGGUACAUCGACUUGUUCUUCUUAGCGCUGCCAUGAACCGUGCGGAGACAUUUAGGAGGAGAUGAGUUGCGAACUCCCCCCUCCUCCAUGGAAGUAGUCUCUGUCUCUUCGAGUGACAUGUACCCGAAGGCCCCUAGUGCCCAGUAGCCUCGGUACAUGGCGUCCGUGAGCAUGCUGAGCUGCGCCAGCAUCCCGGGGUUGGUGAUGUAUCGGCCAUCUGCCUCCUGGACGACCGUGCGGGCUCGCAGGAGCAGCCGCUGCAGCUUCUUCACCUGCUUCUCUUCUGACUGUGCUGAGCGGCUAGAGUGGAGGUACCUGUCGGCGACGAAGGAGACGAAUCGGCUCACGAGUUCACCAGCUACUGCAGAUAUGGCAAGCUCCAUCUUCAGUUCCUUAGAUCAAAAGGGUGCUAAUAACUAGGGAGUCCAAGAGAGGGCAGGAGGCGGUGGACAUUGCAGAGUGCUGGUUAUGUGCUGCCCUUGCACACAGAGUGACUUUUCAUUGCCGACAGGGAAAGGGCACGCCAGUUGUGGUGUGAAUUACUCCACCUAUAGCUUGGGAACACAAUUCCACACGGAUAGACACUAAUCCUGGCUCCUAGAAGGGCACCUCAUAUAAUAUUUGCAUGCGCCACGGAAAAAUCAUGGUGAAUUAAUUUGAGUCUUCGCUUUGCUCAACAAGUCUGUACUCUGUGUAGUAGAGACGAACUGGGGAACUCCUUGUUCAGCAAACUUUUAAAGUUUUAAUACAGCUUCCUUUGUUCACACAGCAAGAAGAAUAUCCGCACAAUCCUUACUAGUGCAGCACACAAAGUUUUCAACCUGGAACUAGAAAGGGCACUGCAAGAAUUAGAGGCUGCUGUUGUGGAUGCAAGCGCAUCUCCCGUAAGACCCUAUGACAUGUAUCUUUACAUCGACAACUUCAUGUUUGGUAGGCACGUCAAGAAGCAGCAGAUCAUGAGAUUCUUGCUGCAGCACGACACCCCUGGUUCUCCGGGUGUGCUUGCAGUGGUAACGCCGGAGUCGGGAAGAAAACUCUUAUCGCCAAUGUAUGCGAUGAUGAGAGGGUGCGGUCUCACUUUUCUAUGAUUUUGUACCUGAAUGGAGAUGACCUUUUCAGAGAGACAAAUCACGAAAGACUGCCAAGGAGGACACUGGUAGUCAUUGAGUUUGGUUCAGACGUAGAUGAAGAUGACUGGACAACGUCUACCAUUCCAUCAUGAACAUGGACAGAGGAAGCAAGGUGAUAAUCUUGGGUUGAAGCUCAGGCUUGGAGAAAUUUGGAACCGUCAAGCAUGUUUCUCUGAACUCCCUGGUUCGAAGAGUACAUGUACCUGUUCAAGACACUCGCAUUCGGAAGCGCGAACCCGGCAGACCACCCACGAUUAGCAGCGAUGUUGGAAGAGUUCACCAUGGUGUUGGGAGGGUCACUCAUCUCAGCAAACGUGCUCGCGGAAGUACUGAGGAAAAACCUGAGUGCCUAUUUCUUGCUGUACAGGUUGAACUGUGCCAAGGACUCUGCCAAUAAGAAACAUCUCUUGUUUUGGCGCGCAAUAAGGAAUUGCUAUGUGACUCGUCCACACUAUUUAUUUUCACUUCUAACAAACGUUUUUGCACAAUCCUUACUAGUGCAGCACACAAGGUUUUCAACCUGGAACUAGAAAGGGCACUGCAAGACUGGGAGGCUGGUGUUGCUAACAUGGCGGAUGCGAGUGCAUCUCCUGUAAACCCUAUGACAUGUAUCUUUACAUUGACAACUUCAUGUUUGGUAGGCACGUCGAGAAGCAGCAGAUCAUGAGAUUCUUGCUGCCAGGGUGCUGGCAGUCAUUGGCAACGCCGGAAUCGGGAAGAAACUCUUAUCAACCAUGUAUGCAAUGAUGAGAGUGUGCGGUCUCACUUUUCUAUGAUUUUGCACCUGAAUGGAGAUGACCUUUUCAGAGAGACGGAUCACCAAAGACUGCCAGGGAGGACACUGGUAGUUAUUGGGUGGCAAUAUGGAAGUUUUAAUUUGUCUAGACCAUCAGAACGUGUUGGUCUCUCUUCAGGAAUGCUUGCUAUGCCAAUAUAUGGCCUGAAUAAAAUGGGUAUAAGAAAUGAAAAUGCCAGUGCAUAGAAGUCCAUCAGAAAAUGGUUAGUCCAGCCAACCAAAUGCCACUAAUUACCAACUAACCAAGUGAGAGCACAUGUGCUAAGCAAGUCAGGCAACAAAAGUUGUAUGGCGUACGUUGCUACUUGCCAGUUUCUAGCCGUAUCUAAUCAGCAGAGAGAACCAACGCAAGAACACAAAAUUAGCCGCAGCAUUCUUGCAAGACGGGGAACCGUACCGUAUGCGGACCUCGGUGGCGGUGCAGGCCAGCAGGCUCACAGCGUCGGCUCUGGCCUCAGGGUCAUUUCAUCGAACACCUUCGGAGCGCCAGACCAGAGCGCCGCCACCUUCCCCCCAGCAUCCUGCCUGGCUGAAGAGAGAAUGAAGGUGUACCGGCUCGGACGCCUCAAUCUUGUGGUGCGCUCUCUCGCCGCGACGCCGAUGAUCUACGCCUUCUCCGCACCGGCGUUCGCCCUGUUCGACGAUCUUCGCCGGGAGACUUCGUUCGGGUCGGCAGAGAGAGUGAACGCACGUCUAACAUAUUCUUGUCAUCAAGCGUUUUAUCGAUUUCUCUGCAGAUCGAUGCGUAAACUAAUGGUUUAUUUCUUCAGGGUUUUUUUUUCUCGGGUAAAUUUCUCCUUUACCCUUUGUCGUGACCUUGUGGCAUUUGUUGUCUCCCUUUUUUUUUGUUAUUCAAACAAAAUUAUUGUCGUAUGUUACAUUCUACUCCCUUUGUCUCGUAUUAAUUGUCGUUGAAACAAAUAUAUCAGUGACAUUUAAUAUGAAAUACAGAAUCAAUAUGACUGCAUGCCUAUGUACACACAUAUAUUUAUCCCUAUAAAUACACACUUUCAUAUCUUAUUUGUGAGCAUCUCCGAGAUACUAAACCGGCACAACAUCUUAAGAUGAUGAAGUCGUUAUAGACGCCUUUAUACUUGAUGGGAGCGUCUCUUUUCAUUUAAUGAACAUCUUCGAAAAGUUUAAAAUAUAUCUAGAAAAAUACGAGCAUGAUGCUAAGUUUAGCACUUGAACAAGGAACGUAAUCACUUGAGAUACGGCUAGUUGGCGAUUUUUACAUUCUACUAUAUACUAGUUGUGGCAUUGUCCAGCUUUCACUUUAUAUUGUUAUUGUUUUCAAACUAAAAAUCUAUAUCCAUCUGCUAGGAGCAAGUGUUGGUUAUGUAUUCAUGAGGUGUUAGGUAGAAUAUACAAUUGCAUUGAAUUCUUUGAAACUGAAUCGUUGUCGAAUUUGCACAGCUUAGAGAAAACUAUAGCCGCCUCUCGAAUCGCUCUUGGGCAACUGCGAAGGCACCAUUGCCCCCUAAAAAAGUUCCUGCACGGCCACCAAACCCUACCGUUGUCGCUAGAGAAGGUCGGUCCAUAGGAGGCAACGACGGUGGGGUGUGCCCACCAGACACACAUACUCUUUGUCUCUACCCCUCCCUCUUUCUCUGGCCAUCCUCGACCCUAGCCAUUCACAGCUCACUUGUCACAAACACAUUCCUCCCAUUGUGUGACCGGUGCUUGACGUUUGCCAGAUGCGUGCGCCCACUUUCCACCAUAUCCGCGUACACUCGGUGACCAUCGCGACUCGGGACUGCUAACACGGUAGUGGUCUGGCAACUGCUGCCUAGCCAUCUUGACCUUCCAUCGAACUGCGGUGACAUGGUUGUUAGGGGGCGCCCCUCAAAAUCUGUGCAUGCACCUUACUGGUGCUAAGGUGUCGUCUGCAUGCAUGAGAGCAUGGUUAAUAGUAUAGCCAAUAACCGACUAUAUAAAGUUGUCACGUCAUCUAUAGUAAACCUAAUAUUCAACAUAUACAAUAGCUAGUUACAAAGAAGUACUACUUUAUUAACUAGAUGAUGCCCCGCACGUUGCUGCGGGAACUCUUUGUCCUACCUACGUGAUAAUACAUAACUUGAAUAACUUUGUGUGCAUAAUGGAUAUAUGAUACUUUUUGUGUGUAUUAUGUGAAUCUUGUUGUAAAUCAAUCUUCUGCAUUUUAGUACAUAGGUGCCAAAUAUAGCCAAGUAGUUGUUACAUAAGUUCAUACCGGCAAGUGUAAUAACAAAUACUGGUAUUUGCACGUAAACAUAAUAUGAGAUAACAGAUAGUGGAAAUGAAGGUCGAGAGAAAUUGACAGUACCGGGUCGUUGUCUUUGUUAAACAAAGAAAAUCUACGAUAGCUUAUAUAGCUGAUCAUUAGUGAGAACUGCUACUUCCUCUUUUGAAAUGAAAAAGGGGUUGUUCUGAGGCAAAGCUAAUGCAAAUAGUAGUGGCUGACAUUUAGUAGGAAGGAAUGAUAGUGUCCUCAGGCUUCAUCUUGCAAAUGAUAGUAGAGAAAGCUAGACAAAAAAUAUUAGAAUGAGCUAUAAUUAAUCAGAGGACUAUGCAAGCUAUACAUCAAAUAGAUGGAAUACCGUGAUUGGACACAAAUCAGUAACAUUGUGAGUGUAGAUAGCGAAGAUAGCACUUCACAACGGAGAGAUCCAAUUGAUAUUGCAAAUGACGAAGAUAGAAGAAGGAGCCUGCAAGAAACAAUGAUUGUAAGUGCCAGCAACAUAUUUGUCACCUGCUACUUGAGCAGGAAAAGGGUGAUACAUAGAUGGAGAGAGGAAAAUGGAAUUUUCAAGCAUUAAGGCAAUCAGAAAGUGUACUACCGAAAAUUAAAAUGUAUAGUGGAAAUAACACCUCCUGAUCUAUCAAAUGCUUAAUUGAAAAACUAAUGGCACUACUGGUUUUGAUUCAGGGCUUCAAAACCUGUGUGGAACCAUUUACUAAGCAGCAUGUGUACUAAUUUAGAUAGCACAAUUUGACAAAUAUCCAAAAGAGCAAACUGUCUAGAUGGAGUGUUUGUUUCUGCUAUGCAACAUCAAGUACGAUGAAGAAAAAAAGGUUAUCUACCAAGGUUAGUACCUUUCUUUCCUUGGUUCCCAAGGGUGGUAUAUAUCUCCUAGAACAAACAAAGAUAAUUCAUUGUUUUACCUGAAAAGUGAUAAAGGCCAUCUGUAAAGGUAGAAUCUGGAAAAUUAUCUCCCAAGACAGGAAGAAAAUGAAUACGCGAGGAAUCAUUAUCUAACAAAUAGUCCUUUGCAUGGCAAUGUUUGCGCGUUCUUUCUUCAGUAGGGAAUCGCUGGAACAAAAAUAUUUAUUAAUAAGGACAUUCAUGCGUCUAUGUGCCUAAGAAAUAACAAUGUGCAAACCAUGAAGGAUAACCUCACAAUAAAUUAGUAAAAUAGUAGGGUAGAGUUAUGAUUUAUGAAUGGAGCCUUGGAUGAAUUUGUACAUCUCAAUAUCAAUCAGAUGGCGUGAGGAAGCUACUACAUACAUAAUGGCACUACUAUGAGCGAAAAUAUACAUGCAGGAUGCAAAAUAAACAGCCAAUUCUUUUUUUCCUGUUACCGGGGGCAUACGCGGGUAAAUUAUGUGAACUUUAGGGGCAAAUUCCGUGACAUACGACCAGAAACCCAGUUUUCUUUAUUAUUAGGUAAAGAUAAAGAUAUAUUGUUAUGUUGAGAUACUUGGCGAUUAAGGUAAGAGAUAUCGGUUCAUGGGCGAGGUCAUCGGCACCAUCGAAGGAAAGGAGAUGCGCGCCAGUGGAUGGUGAUGUAGGUUCCCUGCUCCAUGGGGCGGGUGGAGUACAGCUGAGGGCCCGUCUCCGCUAGAUUCCGGCCAGAGCAGUGGAUCGGCGGCGACGGUGCGCAACGCCAUGGGUCGCUGUUCAAGGAGGGGCCGCAAAUCCGCCUGGGCAAAGUUUCAGCGUACCUGCAUGUGAAGACGAUGGUGCUAACGUGCAGGUUCUUCAGGUUCUAGCUUGUGGAGGGCCACCCCGUCAAAUAUGGAACCAUGGACAUCUCUCUACGCACGCCCUCAACGUCCGCGUCUCCAGAUUGCUUGAUUGUGAAGAGUUAAGAUACUCAGCCAGUCAGCCGUAGAAGAUAAAGAGAUUCAUGGAAAAUCGAUUAACCUGCAAUGACAUUAGAUCAGAUGAGUAGUUCCGGGGCAUCAUAGCAGGAGAGAGAGAGAGAGAGAGAGGUGGGAUUGGGAAUCACACCGGGUAAUACGCCGAAUCUUUUGGACACCAUCUUGGGGUUGAAAUAUGGACUUUUGCACAAAAGUAUAUGCAUUUUUUUGUCUCUGUUCUUGUUUUAGUUCUGUUUAUGGUUUAGUUUACUGAAAAACAGGUAGAGUUUGCACAACUGGAGUUUGUUCCCACCGUUGGAUGCUAAUCCGAUCGAAAAGGAAAGAAAGUGACUGAACCGGCUAAAUAUUUCAGUCGUGUGACCGGAAUGUUGUCGCUCCCGUUGCUACUAGCGACUCUCCUCGCGCCGCACCUCUCUGUUCAGGAUGAAGAUCGCCUCACCGCGAUUCUCGUUAUGCAGCGCGCCACAGGUCGAGCCCUCACCCAAAGCUUCGUCAUGGCAACCCUCUCUUGUUCCCUGAUGAUUAUGCGUCACUUACUCCGUCUCCACGAAGGCGGCAAGACGGGGUGUACGCUGGUGCCCGUGAGGGUCCUCGGGCGUGAGCCGUGAGCGAGCCACCUUCCCCCGCCAGUCAGGUCAGCGUGAUGUGCCGUCUCUGGUCUCCUAAGACGGCUGCCACUAAUUUUCAAUGCUCACGUGGGUUCUCUCUUCUUGUUACAUACUCCCUCCGUUCUGAAUUACUUGUCUUGGAUUUGCCUAGAUACGGAUGUAUCUAGACUCAUUUUAGUGCUAGAUACCUCUGUAUCUAGACAAAUCUAAGACAAGUAAUUCGGAACAAAGGGAGUAGUACUGUACGUCUAGAAGCUGGCAGUUGCUGCCUGAUUUGGUUAGCACAUAUCCUGCUUAGCUCGCAAUUCUGCCGCAACAAGCCUUCCUGAAAAGAGAAGAGCAUGGUCAAGGAAAGCUGCCGAGCAAAGCAAAUGACUCCCAAGUCACCAUCAUUUUUCCAUGGCUCAUGAAAAGAACGGCUGAGCUGCCCUUCCUGGACAUUCUUUCACAGGCUGGGAGGCUGGAGGUGGAGUGGUUCACAACGCAACCGGUGAUAGAUAAGUUUCAGCACGUGUCCCUUUCCUGUUGGCAAUACAAAGUCACUCUCUGCAACGUCCGGAUAUUGACGUCCAGGACCGCAAGCACCAGCAGUCUGCAAUUUCACCAGCCUCCUACCCCCUGCUCUGUUGGGUUCUUUGUUAGUUAGCACUCUUCUCUUGCAGGAACUCAAGAUGGAGCUAGCAAUAUCUGCAGUAACAGGUGAGCUCGUGAGCCGAUUCGUCUCCUACCUCGCUGACAAGUACCGCUCGAGCCGCCGUGCAGAGUCAGGAGAGACACAGUUGAGGAGGCUGCAGCAACUCCUCCCCAGAGCCCGCUCCGUCGUUGAGGAGGCAGAUGGGCGGUACAUCACCAACUCCGGGAUGCUGGCGCAGCUCAACAUGCUCACGGACGCCAUGUACCGAGGCUACUGGGCGCUAGGGGCCUUUGGGUACAUGUCCCUUGAAGAGACAGAGACUAGUCCCAUGGAGGUUAGCAGCUCAUCUCCCCGCAAACGUCUCCGCACGGUUCAUGGCAGUGCUAGGAAGAACAAGGCCAUGUACCUUGCCGACCUUCAAGGUGUGGUGGAGAGCUUGGAGGAUGUCGUUGCUGGCUUGACGGAGUUUGUUGUUCUUUUGAGUGGAUGCGACCGUAUGCUGCGUCGACCAUAUGAUGCGUAUCUUUACAAUGACACCAUCAUGUUCGGACGCCACACCGAGAAGCAAAAGCUCCUGAACUUCAUGUUGCAGCACAGUUCAAGCUCGCCUGGUGGAACGCCGGCUGUUCUCCCGAUCAUCGGUGCUCCCGCGGUCGGGAAGAGGACUCUGGUGGCCCAUGUAUGCAAGGACGAGAGGGUCAGCUCACAUUUCUCCUCGAUUCUGCACCUGAAUGGAGACUCCUUCCGCAGAAUCGCAGACCAUGACCGGAGCUUCUUGCGAGGGAAGAUAGUGGUCGUUCUUGAGCUUGUCGCAGACGUCGACGAGAAGGAUUGGGCCGAGUUCUGCUCAACCUUGGCAAGCAUGGAUAGUGGAAGCAAGGUGAUCAUCAUCAGCCGGCUUAGAAGUACAGAGCGAUUCGGGACAGUGCGGCCGAUCUUCCUUAACACCCUGUCAUACGAGGAGUUCAGCUACCUCUUCAAGACACUCGCAUUCGGGAGCGCGAACCCGGCGCAUCACCCGCAGCUGGCACGGAUUGCAGAUGAAUUGGCCGAGGAGUUCCGCACGGAAUGUUCGCUCGUCGGCACAAACAUAUUCGCGGAUGUGAUGAGGAGGAAUCUGAACGUCCAUUUCUGGCUCGGCAUGCUGAGCAGGCUGAGAAGAUUUGCUGAGAGGAACGUCUCCAUGUUUGGGGAACACCCGAGGUUGCUCGUCGAGAGACGCCAUCAGAUAGAUGUUACGGACUUCGUCUUGCAUCCUGCUGCUUCUCCGCUCCGCAUCGUGCCUUCCUGCACCAGUGGCAGCAGCCGCACUGAGGUUACAGCGGAGAGGGCAUCGCUGCCGAGGGUGAGGCUUGGAGAUCUUGUGAUGGAUCCUGGAGUUCGGCCGCAAGGGGAUUUCAAUGUGGUUUCCUGGGAAUCAAGGUUGCCUCCUUACACUUCAUUUGUACAUUUUGUUCCAAAUGGAAAUUGUGCUCCAGGUUUGGCGAAACAGAGUACUCCCCUGUCUGGGAGGAAGCGUCCAGCAGUUGCUUUGUAAGGCCUUCUGAUUAGAAUGAUUUUUACUGGGAUUCUGUAGAGUUGAAAUCUCUAGUACUCCCCCAGUUCAUGAUUAAAUAGAACUUAGAUAUUGACACAGUCUCCCAUAUGUAUCUUUAACCUCUGUCUUCAAGCUUGGAAUUUAUAUUAUGAAGAAAACAUGACAAAUUAAUUUUGUACAUAUCUGUAGUCAAAGUUAGAAAAUGUUGAAUACAGGCCUUUCUUGGAAGUCAUGCAUUUAUGAAAAGUAUUUUGUGUGUGUAAGAUGUUUGAUUUGUGGCUGGGACUGUCAGUUUUAUCCAAAGAACCCUUUGUAACAUUUCUCAUACAAAGUUUUGCAUGAACUUAAANNNNNNNNNNNNNNNNNNNNNNNNNNNNNNNNNNNNNNNNNNNNNNNNNNNNNNNNNNNNNNNNNNNNNNNNNNNNNNNNNNNNNNNNNNNNNNNNNNNNNNNNNNNNNNNNNNNNNNNNNNNNNNNNNNNNNNNNNNNNNNNNNNNNNNNNNNNNNNNNNNNNNNNNNNNNNNNNNNNNNNNNNNNNNNNNNNNNNNNNNNNNNNNNNNNNNNNNNNNNNNNNNNNNNNNNNNNNNNNNNNNNNNNNNNNNNNNNNNNNNNNNNNNNNNNNNNNNNNNNNNNNNNNNNNNNNNNNNNNNNNNNNNNNNNNNNNNNNNNNNNNNNNNNNNNNNNNNNNNNNNNNNNNNNNNNNNNNNNNNNNNNNNNNNNNNNNNNNNNNNNNNNNNNNNNNNNNNNNNNNNNNNNNNNNNNNNNNNNNNNNNNNNNNNNNNNNNNNNNNNNNNUAAAAACCGUCAUGUAUCGAGGGCCUCAAGAAGAAGUGAAACAAAUAUGAAUCUCGAGGCUUGCAUUGCGGCAUCGCUCCACAUGUGUUUGGGCCACAAAUUUGAGGGUACCGCAGUGGGGGGGCCAGGGGGGACGAGCAGGGCCUGCCCCCCACCCAACGAUCGACAGUUUUAUUAGGAGCGACGAGUAAUUACCAACGAUAUUAGAUCAAUGUACGUACUUGGCCCCCUGGCCGCCCAGACGGAAGUAAAGAUCUGAAGCAAAAAGGCCAUAGAAAAGCCCACACAGCCUUUUUUGAUCUAGUACUAGCCCAUGACGCUACCCUAAAACAAAAAGGUUAGCCCCCCAGCGUGAUUAACGUGUGACUGGAGAGGCUGCCGGCCGCCGCCGCUGCUUCUUGCCUCCCUGUUCGUGAUCAGAUGUGGUCAGAUUAUAUUUGGCGACACCGGCUCCUGCGUUGGGCAAUCCUACAGACUACACUCCAGUUCUCCAAUAGUCAAUCCAGUCAAGGAUUAGCAGUAGUGAGUAUUUCUCCAAUUGUACAUCCUUUUAGUUAUUUUGAUUGAUUGUUUAAUUUACUAUGCUAAUUGGUUCUUUUUAUUUUUUUUGAUUGCGUAAUCUGGAAAACGGAAAUGAAUAGAAAAGCGAUGCCAAACAACACCAUAAGGAUUAAUUCGAUUUUUAGGCAUAUAUUGUUUCACUUUCUCUACCUACUGAUAAUGUUAAUGAUGCUAAAGUGCAAGUUAUCAAUCCAGUCCAAUGGGAGAUGACUUGCUUCAGAAUUGCAAGAUAAUCUGCACUGAAAGAGAAUUACCCAUCAACUAAGUUAUGAUCUGCAAAAUUAUAUAUAUUUUUUCGAUCGUCCUGGAAAUAGUCAGGGUAAAUUAAGCUAAUAAAACUGUAACUAUGUUCUAGUUACGCCAAAGCGACACAUUUUUUUGGUCGCACGGGGCAUUUUUUUUUUUAAAGUUGGCUUGGCCCCCCUAUACUCGAAUCUUGGCUCCGGCCCUGAGGGUACCUACCAACAGCUGAGCUACCCAUUACUUCGCUUGGCGUCCUCAGAGAUAAUCAGCACCCCCUCAAAAAAAAAUUCAAUCAGCACAGGCUACCAGUACUAGCGGAACUCCUCUCGAUCGUGCAUUGACUAGGCAGGUCCUGAGAUCAAAUCAGUAGUCCUCAAACCUUCACUCGUUGAUGAAGGGGAGAGGUUGAUGCCACGAGUAAACACUAAGAUCCACUUAUUCGGAUUCACCUGUGGGCACACCGUUGCAUGCCUGUGUGUCACCAGGAUCAAUGGUGACACGCUUGAACAACAUUGGCCCCUGUUGCUACCUAGCAAGUGUGGGUACGGGACAAGUCUAAUGGAGGGGAGGGCAACGACGAAGGAUUUGCGUGGGUCAUAUAAAUAUUAUUCCCUGGGCUUUUAUCCAUUUUGAUGACAAGUAUUUUUGGACGGACGGGGUAAUAUUUUUUAGGCAAUCAAUAACGCAAUAGCUGAUUGAUUAAAGUCCAAAGUCUUGAGUGGUUGAGCCAUAUAUCUCUAUAUAUGUCUCUGGUCAAGGGUCGAUGGUUCGUCUACAAACUAUACUAGCUAGCUUCUCUCCAUUGUAAACCGAAACCAUGUGGAACCAUAUAUAAAGCCUGUUCGGUAGCUCUCCAGACCGUCAACUCCGCUCCGCGCGAGGAGUUGGGUUCGAGCCACUCCGCCUGAUUGCGCUGGCGCUCCCUCCGCUCCCGGAGCUGCAGUUGGGGAGCGGAGGGGAUCCGAACAGGGCCAUAGAGUGUUAAUGUAAGGAUAUGUAUAGAGAACUCGAAACUGUACGCUUGAUUGAGAGAUCGGUGGUGAUAACGUUAAGUGGCGCCAGACCAUAAGGGUGAUUCACCAGCAAUAGGAAUAGGAUGCACGGGGAAUUCGAGUUGAAGACAAACUACAAAUGUACACGGUACACGCAACAAAUGGCUAAUUUUUUUAAAAUAAUAUAAAAAAAUUCAUUAAUUCGAAGAAUAAUAUACGGAUUUGAUUUUUUUCAAAAAUAAGCUUCCCUGUAGCCGAUUGGAUUCAAUCGGCUUUCUGUAAGCCGAUUAUGUUAAAUUGUGAUCCAAAUUCUAGUAUCAUAUUGGACUAGACGUAGUACAUACGGUGUGGGCCUUUUGCGUUGGUACCGACGCGUACGAGUACAACUCGUUUACUUGUCCUACAAGGACUUCUAUGUGUUGCCCUUCAUAUAUACCCCAUGUAGUCGCACUCUCCUCGUAGUGAUCGCGCCUUCGUGCGUCCGUGGUUUUCUCCCGUAAGGGUUUCCACGUAAAAAUCUGUGUGAUCUCGUGUCUUUUUUAUCUCGUUAUUAUCUAACAAGUGGUAUACAGAGCUGAUGUUACAGAUACGAGAUUUAAGAUCAGGAGAUUAGGGUUGCGGCGUCCUUUGCGCCGCGGCCGACGCGACCUGGCGAUUCGAAACCAGAUCGAUCAAGUCGCCGAGUUCGACAGGAACCGAGUCGAUCUACUACUGGGUGAAGUCGCGCGUUGUCUGGCCGUGUCCGAGAUCGAAAAGUUUUUCCCCUGCAGCCAACUCCAGCAAUCUACACGCGAAUUUUGGCAGAGCCGUCGUCACAUCACGGGUCAUCAAAUUCCCGUGUUCCUGGUCGCUGCAACUCCCGAGGAGUUCCUUCACGUGAAGCUAAGUUCAGAUUCGCUUUAUUUGUUUCAUCACAGAUCAAGAAGUAGUACUUUGAUCAGCCAGCUACUAGUACUAGUAUUUGUCACAUCAAGCUACAGUUUUUUUUGGUCUCCCACUUCCACGUAUACACGAAGCUGCCAGGUGCUAUUGUUCCUUGCUCAGUUUGAUCUGCAUAUUAAAUUCUGUCAAGAAUUUUUCUAUCGCCUUGUACUGCUUUGUGCACAGCUUUUAUCUACUCAUAGCAUCCAUGAAGUACGAUUUUCCGCUGCUGGACCGUGGCACAAGGUUUACCUUAUGGCAAGUCAAGAUGCGGGCGUUGUUGGCACAGUCCGACUAUGAUGUAGCACUGGAUAGUUUUGGGAAGAACCGAAUUCAAGAUUGGACUGAUGAGGAGAAAAGAAUUGAUUGUAAGGCUUUGUCACAAAUUCAACUCCAUUUGCAUAAUAAUAUUUUGCAGGAAGUUUUGAGCGAGAAAACUGCCGCCGCUCUAUGGUUAAAGCUAGAAGGGAUUUGCAUGACUAAAGAUAUCACCAGCAAGAUGCAUCUGAAGCAAAAAUUAUUCCUGCACAGGUUACCCGAGGGAGGUAAUGUUUUGAAUCAUAUUUCAGAGUUUAAGGAGAUUAUAUCCGAUCUAGCUGCAAUGAAGGUUAAGUAUGAAGAGGAAGAUACUGCUUUAAUGUUACUUUGUUCACUGCCAAGUUCUUAUACCAAGUUUAGAGACACCAUAUUAUACAGUCGUGAUACUCUCACGCUUAAUGAAGUUUAUGAAGCUUUGAACUCUAAGGAGAAGAUGAAAUUAAUGGUGCCUCAUGAUGGUUCAAGUUUAUCCCAAGCCGAGAGAUUAUCUGUUCGUGGCAGGACAAAGGAGAAGAACUCACACAAUGGAAAAAGAGGCAAACGUAAGAACGGCCACAGGGGCCGAUCGCAAUCCAGAGACAAGAAAUAUUGCAGGUAUUGCAAGAGAGAUGAGCAUGACAUCUCAGAGUGUUUCAAGUUGCAGAACAAGGAAAAGAGAGAAGGUAACAAACAAGGUGACAAUUCUGCCAACGUUGCUCGUGAUGAUAGUUCCGAUGAUGCUCUUGUCGUUAUUGCUGGAUGUGCUGAGACUAAUGAUGAGUGGGUACUUGACACUGCAUGCACUUUUCAUAUGUGCCCGCAUAGAGAUUGGUUUACUACUUUUGAUUCCACUUCUGCUGCUGGUUCCGUUUUGGAUUUUGAUAAUUCACCAUGCAAGAUUGAAGGCAUAGGUACUAUUCGAAUCAAGAUGUUUGAUGGCAUAAUCAGAACUUUGACAGAUGUUCGGUAUAUUCCGAAGAUGAAGAGAAAUCUUAUUUCUAUGAGUGCCCUUGAUGCAAAGGGAUACAAGUAUUCAGGUGGAGAUAGUGUUUUGAAAGUCACAAAAGGUUCCCUUAUUGUGAUGAAAGGUGAUUUAAGUUCGACCAAUGGUCUUUAUUACCUUUGAGGUUCUACCGUUUCAGGUAACGCUACUCCAGUUAUUUCAAAGAAUUCUGAUUGUGAUGCUGCUAACCUUUGGCAUAUGCGUCUUGGACAUAUGAGUGAACUUGGUUUGGCAGAGUUAAAUAAGAGAGGUCUUCUUGAUGGAUAUGAACCUGGUAAACUGAAAUUUUGUGAGCAUUGUAUCUUCGGCAAACACAAGAGGGUGAAGUUCAAUACUUCGACUCAUACAACUGAAGGUAUUCUUCAUUAUGUACAUUCUGAUUUAUAGGGACCAUCUCGCAGAAAGUCACUAGGUGGUGCUAGUUACAUGCUGACUAUUAUUGAUGAUUAUUCGAGAAAAGUUUGGCCUUAUUUCUUGAAGCAUAAAUAUGAAGCAUUCUCAGCAUUUAAGGAGUGGAAAAUUAUGAUUGAAAGACAAACUGAAAGGAAGGUAAAAAUACUUCGCACUGAUAAUGGUAUGAAAUUCUGUUCUAAGCAAUUUAAGAAUUAUUGCAAGUCUGAAGGCAUUGUCAGACACUACACCGUUCCUUAUACUCCUCAACAAAACGGUGUUGCUGAGCGUAUGAACAUGACCAUUAUUUCAAGAGCCCGUUGUAUGUUGUCCAAUGCAGGUUUGCAUAGGCGUUUUUGGGCUGAGGCCGCUUCCACUGCUUGUUAUCUCAUUAAUCGUUUACCAUCUAUUGCUCUUAAUAAGAAAACUUCAAUUGAGGUAUGGUCUGGUUCACCUGCUGAUUAUUCACAGUUGAGAGUUUUUGGUUGCACUGCUUAUGCUCAUGUUGAUAAUGGAAAAUUGGAGUCUAGGGCUGUUAAGUGCAUCUUUCUUGGUUAUAAGUCUGGUGUUAAAGGUUUUAAAUUAUGGAAUUCUGAAACCCAGAAGGUUGUUAUUAGCAGAAAUGUUAUCUUUAAUGAAUCUGCUAUGUUACAUGAUGUUUCAUCUACUAAUGUUCCUGUUGAGAGUGAACAGCAGCCUCCUAUUCAGCAGCCUACUGUUCAGGUGGAGCAUGUUAUUGAUUCAGGUGAUACAUCUAGUAAUGAAAUUGUUGAUGCACAUGAUGAACCCGUCGUUAAUGAUGAUCAUGUCACUCCCACUCCAAAUCAGCCUAUUGUUCCGCCCAGUUGGAAUCUCGCACGUGACAGAGUUAGACGGGGUAUUAAUAAACCUGACAGGUUAAUUGAAGAGUGCAAUAUUGUUUCUUUUGCUUUAUCUGUUGCAGAAGAAAUUGAAGGUAAUGCUGAACCUUCUUCAUAUUCUGAGGCUAUUAUUUCCGGUGAUAGUAAUAAGUGGAUGACUGCUAUGCAUGAUGAGAUGGAAUCACUUGAAAAGAAUGGCACUUGGGAUUUAGUAAGAUUACCUAGAGAGAAGAAACCUAUUCGUUGCAAGUGGGUUUUCAAGAGGAAAGAAGGUGUUUCUCCUAAUGAUGAGACAAGAUAUAAAGCAAGCAAAGAGUAUGUUAGAGAUUAAUGAACUAAAGAAGCAAUUGAGUAAUGAAUUUGAGAUGAAGAAUUUGGGUGCAGCAAAGAAAAUACUUGGCAUGGAAAUAUCCAGAGAUAGACCGUCUAAAAAAGUGUAUCUAAGUCAGAAGGGAUAUAUUGAUAAAGUUCUUCGUCGUUUUAAUAUGCAUAAUGCCAAGCCAGUAAGUACCCCGUUAGCUGCACACUUCAAAUUAUCAUCAGCUUUAUGUCCUAAGUCAGAUGUAGAUAUUGAGUACAUGUCUAGAGUUCCCUAUUCGAGUGCAGUUGGCUCACUUAUGUAUGCCAUGGUUUGUUCUCGUCCUGACUUAUCAUAUGCAUUGAGUGUUGUCAGUAGAUACAUGGCUAAUCCUGAAAAAGAGCAUUGGAAAGCAGUUCAGUGGAUUUUCAGAUACCUGCGAGGUACUUCUAAUGCUUAUUUACAGUUUGGGAAAACUACAGAUGGACUUGUUGGUUUUGUUGAUUCUGAUUUUGCUGGUGAUUUGGAUAAGAGAAGAUCACUCACAGGUUAUGUUUUUACUAUUGAUGGUUGUGCUGUGAGUUGGAGAGCCACUUUGCAGUCUAUUGUGGCUUGUUCCACUACUGAUGCCGAGUAUAUGGCUAUUUCUGAGGCAUGCAAAGAAGCUAUCUGGUUGAGAGGUUUUUAUCCUGAGCUUUGUGGAGAUUCAUCUUGCCCUACCGUAUUUAGUGACAGUCAAAGUGCUAUAUAUCUUACAAAGAAUCCAAUGUAUCAUGAGAGGACAAAGCACAUUAAUGUCAGAUUUCAUUAUAUUCGAGAUGUUAUUGCUAAAGGCGAUUUGAAGGUAUGCAAGUGUGACGCCCCGAGACCGAUGUGCCAGGUGUCCUCCAGUUAUUCGUUGUUGUUGCCUUGUCAUUCGCUUGCGUGUUGCAUCUUGUCAUGUCAUCAUGUGCAUUGCAUCAUCAUGUUUUAAAACUUGCAUCCGUCCGGAUUCUCCCAGUUCCUUCCAUUGUCCGUUCUGAGCCCAGACACACUUGCACGCGCCCGCGGCAUGCCUGAAAUAUUAUUUUAUAAGUGGCCGGAAAAUGUUAUCGGAAUGGGAUGAAAGUUGGCAUGUGGUGUUGUUAUGUUGUAGAUAGACCGCCUGUCAAGUUUCAUCGCAUUCGGAGUCGGUUUGAUAGCCCAACCGUUAACUAUAGUGGCAGUAUAGACGGUCUAACGUCGGAUGUUUUCGGUCUCCGGAAACAGUCGUCGGGUCUCUCUCUUCUCUUCUCUUAGCUCGAGCCCUUCUGCACAGCCCACAAGUUUCAACCGACCUCUCGCGCGCGUCCGAGAGUUGUCCCGAACCCGACCCGGACUGUCGUCACCGUUGUGUCCAGAACAUCCCCAUACAUCUAUAAAACAUCACCGUUUUCUCAUUUGGAUUCCCUACCUAUUUUAUUCUCAUCCGUCGGUUUUCGAUCCGAUGAUCCAAAUCCCUCUCCUUUAAUCCUUUUGCUAUAUAUAUCAGGCAAAACCCUAAAAACUAGGUCGCUUGUCCCCCUCAGCUGCCGCCGCCACACUCAAAUCCCACCUCGGGAUCCUCCCAGAUCCCCUUUCUCCUUGUUUUCCUCCUCCACCCAAUCCCGAAGGCGCAGCCACCUCUCUCCAAGAUCCUCUCGGCCUCUACCUACCAGUCCAUCCAGCCAUCGACCGAACCAGCAGGCCCCGUGCCCCCUCCGUGCUCGUGCAGGCGCUCCUCGAGCCGCCCUCGUCCAUCGCCCCGCCUCAAGUCCGCUGAUGCCAAGCGCCACCCUGACCUUCCUGCGGCCACUUCUCCUCCCCCUGCUCCUCCACGCGGUGCCGACCGGCAACAAGACGAACGAGAACCCCACUGGGGCUCCUUCUCUACGCCCUCUCCUGGAGCCACCCGCUGCUGCUGCUCUUCUUCGAGGCGCAAGUCCCGCCGCGGCUGCUGCUCUGCUCCUGCCUCCGUGGAGCUCCCACGCAGAUCCUCGCCGUUGUUCCACGUCGGAUCCGGCCGGGGGCCGCUGGAUCUCGCCGCCUCCGCCAUGAACCCGUCCAUCCCCGACCUCCUGUGCGCGCCUCUACAUCAUCUGCAUCGAGCAGGUGGUCGCCUGCUCGAGCCUGUGCCUUGCUCGCCCGUGUUGACCUUGUCCCAGCGCGCGUGGACCGGUCAACUCCGUCCCCUGGGCCGGCCCUUCUCCUCCUCUUCUCCCAGCCAGGCCUUGGCCCGAUGUGAGAAACUCCUCCAGUCUGAUCCUGUUCGGCCCGAUAGCUCAGAUUCGGUCCAUAUAUGGUUUUUUUGCUGUGCGCUGCGAUUUUCCUAAUUGUUCAAAAAACUACAGCUUUACAGAAUGACCCCUAAGCUCCAUGCAUAUUGUAACUCUCAAACCGUGCAUCACAUGUAAAUAACUUAUAUAUGAAAAAUGCUUAAAAUUGUGUCUAGUUUCAUAAUAUGCAACUUUCAUGCAUGUUUAAAAUGUUUAAAAUGAUGUUUGUUUAAAUUUGCCCCUAUGCCAUGCUAAAAUGACUUAAUUCAUAACCAAAUAACCGUAACUCAGAAUUUAAUAAACUUUAUAUGUAAAUGGGGUAAAAAAAUGCCUAGUUUAACAUGGUGGCAUCACUUUGCAUGUUUAACAACUCUAAAAUUGUGUUUAGGGCAGAACGGUACUAAACCUAAUAAAUGCAUAUGGGGAUUUUCCGGAAGUGUUGUUUGUUGUUUCCGGCCUCAUUUAAACUUGACUAGAUAGGUAGUUUUCAUUUGCUUCACCUUUUGCCAUGCUAACAACAUUUAAUCUUGUUGGGUACCUAAACAAGAGAGAACUAAAUAAGUCAUGUGGUGUUUUCUUCAAUAUGCAACGGAGUUGCAUAUUGUGCUCCACUUAAUUUGUAGUAUUGUUUGUGCACUUUGUCAUGCCAUGCAUAUUUAAACCGGACAUGCAUCAUACUUGAUUGUGCAUCAUGACAUGCUUAUAUGAUGGUUGUUUACUAUGUUGUUUGCUUCUUUCCGGUGUUACUUCUUCGGGUUGGUUCCUGUAAAAACCGUAAAAUAAAUAAAUAAAUAGUAAUAAAAUUAGAUAACAAUAAUUUCAAUGGCGUUGCCAAAACAUUAAUUAAAAUAAUAGAAAUAACUACACUUAAUUAUUAUUUUUAUUACAGCUAAUAGCAUUUAGUCAUGCACAACAAUUCUUCUCCAAACCUCCCUAUAUUUUAUAGACCCUUGCCUCAUUUCCUUCACAUAAAAUAAAUGCCAACUAAUGGCCAGCCAAGCAAAUUACACUUGUCCCUAGUACAGCCCACAAGAGACACAAGUGGAGGCAUGCAUGCAAGACUAACCACGCAUGCAUGCCAGAUGUAAUGCCUCUCCAAACCGACAUAGCUAUUCACCCCACUAUAAAUAGGAGCCAUCCCUUUCACUGUGGCCACACACAAUCAUCCGCUGGAGAAACCCCUCUGCCUUUUCACCUUCUGCCACACUGCUAUCCUCCCCUGCUGUGAAGCUCUUUGGGUUGCAUGCGCCACCAGAUACUAAUCAAGUACCUUGUUGUGUUAGCCCUUCUUGCUUGAUUUCUUAUCUAUCUCCACUUCGGUUUGAAUCAGUCCAUAAGCAUCUAUUCACCUUGAUCUAUUUACCUUGCUGUAAAAAGAGAAACAAUAGUUAGUGAAAAAAAAACAUAAACUAGAUGGAGGAAAACAAAGACAUUGCAGUUUUGUGAUUCAUGUGUAGCUGUAAAAGAAAAUCUAUGUGUGUGUUCAUCUCUACCUUGUAUUAGAUCUGACAUGCUAAGAAUUAAAUCUUAGAAAUUAACCCAUUAUUAAGAUUGCAUGUGUAGCUUUGGGGCCAGACAAUCUGUGUAUGCUACUUGACCACUGUCAUUUUCAGUAAACAUUGGUUGGUUAAUGUUCUGUUAAGAAAUAAAUCUCAAGAUGGUAUGUCUCACUUGCACAUACCCUGUACCGGAAAAUAACCCAUUUAACUUUUGCACAAAUGAAAUCUUGCUAGAAUAUCUCACUCAUUUUUUUUCCGGUUUCCCUUAGUAUAACUAGCAAAAGUGCCCGUGCGUUGCAACGGAAGAAACAAAUUAUCACACUUAGCGCCCCAUCCUUGUUACCACUUAUUUUCUUUAUCCUCAUUGUCGGUCACGCUGUCCACUACACGGCGAACGUUCCACCUAAGCUUGGAGCUAAUGAAGAAUCGUCUACAUACACAGACCAGCGAACAGCCGCGUUUGAGAUCCCGGCCACAUCCGCGCAAUCUAAUGAUUGCGCCUUGUGUUUGUGCUAUCCAUAUUUUACAUCGUAGCAGUUCAGUACCAGUCCAUAAAGGACACAAAAAAUCUUCAAAUUUAACUUUAGUUUAAAACAACCAACACCUUUUUUUGUGGGGUAAAACGAUCAACACCAAAGAACAGGGGAGGUUGCGAGUUUGAUUCAUGUCACGGUCAACUAUUUUUGCCUCAUCUCCUAAAUGGGCUGGUGGGUCUGAUUUAUUGGGCCGGAUCGCACAGACAGGUUGGGAGGGCACUUUUUUUCAUUGGUGGAAUGUAACACAGACGAACGGGGCAGAGGCCCGGCGGCCCAGGAUAGACGAUCUGUAGAAUAGCCUAGCUGAGUACGGAUAAACGCUAUGGACAUACCAAAUGGGAGGCCAAAUAAUAUUAUACCUCCAUUUAUAUAAAAAAAUAGCAUAUAUGCCCGUAUGUUACAACAGUAAAAAAAAAGUGAUAUAAAUUUAGUGAGGAUUAUAUGCACAAACAUAACAUUCAAUGUGUUAUAAAGUUGGCGCAAAUUUAGUAAGUAUCAUAAGUGGGUCUGCUGCAACCGAAGAAAAAAUAAUGUGAAUUUAGUGAGGAUUGCAUGUAGGAAAAAAUGCCACAUCAUUUUUAUUCAUAAAAUAUGGAUGAGGCCAGUACGCCUGUCAUUGGUUCAAAUUAAAUUCCAUGCCAACCAAAUAUGGCGCCCACAAAUCCCGCACGUCCUAUCCAUUUGGUAGGGAUCCUCCCUCAAUCCUCCUAUAAUUACCGUAUAUUUCCUUAUUGUGUAUCAAGCAUGUCAUGAAUAUCAGUGGCCAGCCGGUUAAUUAUCACAUAAUGACCCUAUAUUUCCUUUCUCUCCCUUCCCUUUCGCCCUCCUUCUUUAUUUCUCAUGCAAUAUCCACGCCUUAUUUUUUUCUUUAUUUCCGAAGCAGCUCGAUGCCUGACAACCUAAGAACGUAUAUAAACUGCAAAAAACUAAUGUAAAAUAGCAAGGUGGGACUAUUUAAUAAUAUGUAAACAAUUAUGAAAAAGUCUCCAACCUGCUCCUUGUCCGUCCCGUGGGCCGCAACACCCGUCU